rnacentral:rRNA from 1 species
AUACGGAGGAUCCGAGCGUUAUCCGGAUUUAUUGGGUUUAAAGGGUGCGUAGGCGGCACUUUAAGUCAGGAGUGAAAGACGGCAGCUCAACUGUCGCAGUGCUCUUGAUACUGAAGUGCUUGAAUGCCGUUGAAGAUGGCGGAAUGAGACAAGUAGCGGUGAAAUGCAUAGAUAUGUCUCAGAACUCCGAUUGCGAAGGCAGCUAUCUAAGCGGUGAUUGACGCUGAUGCACGAAAGCGUGGGGAUCAAACAGGAUUAGAUACCCUGGUAGUCCACGCCCUAAACGAUGAUGACUCGAUGUUGGCGAUACACAGUCAGCGUCCAAGCGAAAGCGUUAAGUCAUCCACCUGGGGAGUACGCCCGCAAGGGUGAA